GAAUUGGUCUUAGUUAAGAUCCAGACUGAACCAUGGCAGCCCUAGCUCAGCUCCUCUGCCUCCUGUUCCUCUGGCUCCCAGAUACCACUGGAGAAGUUGUGAUGACGCAGUCUCCAGCCUCCCUGUCUUUGUCUCCAGGGGAAAAAGCCACCCUCACCUGCAGGGCCAGUCAGGGUAUUAGCAGCUACUUAGCCUGGUACCAGCAGAAACCUGGGCAGGCUCCCAAGCUCCUCAUCUAUGGUGCAUCCACCAGGGCCACCGGCAUCCCAUCCAGAUUCAGUGGCAGUGGGUCUGGGACAGACUUUACUCUCACCAUCAACAGCCUGGAGCCUGAAGAUUUUGCAGUUUAUCACUGUCAACAAUAUAGUAGUGGGUAUCUCACAGUGAUUCACCAUGAAACAAAAACCUCCAUG